rnacentral:rRNA from 1 species
UACGUAGGUGGCGAGCGUUAUCCGGAAUGAUUGGGCGUAAAGGGUGCGCAGGCGGUCCUGCAAGUCUGGAGUGAAACGUAUGAGCUCAACUCAUGCAUGGCUCUGGAAACUGCCAGGCUAGAGUGUCGGAGAGGUAAGUGGAAUUCCUAGUGUAGCGGUGAAAUGCGUAGAUAUUAGGAGGAACACCAGUGGCGAAGGCGGCUUACUGGACUGUAAAUGACGCUGAGGCUCGAAAGCGUGGGGAGCAAACAGG